AUUGAACGCUGGCGGUAUGCUUAACACAUGCAAGUCGAACGAGUAGCUACUUCGGUAGCGAGAGUGGCGGACGGGUGAGUAACGCGUAGGAAUCUGCCUGUUAGUGGGGGACAACGUGGGGAAACUCACGCUAAUACCGCAUACGCCCUACGGGGAAGGAGGGGAGUCUUCGGACCUUUCGCUAACAGAUGAGCCUGCGUUAGAUUAGCUAGUUGGUGGGGUAAAGGGCCUACCAAGGCGACGAUCUAUAGCUGUUCUGAGAGGAAGAUCAGCCACACUGGGACUGAGACACGGCCCAGACUCCUACGGGAGGCAGCAGUGGGGAAUAUUGGACAAUGGGCGCAAGCCUGAUCUAGCAAUACCGCGUGUGUGAAGAAGGCCCUAGGGCUGUAAAGCACUUUUGUUGGGGAAGGAAACCGGCCGGGUUAAGUACCCUGGUUGAAUGACGGUACCCAAAGAAUAAGCACCGGCUAACUUCGUG
rnacentral:rRNA from 1 species